GUGCGCGCGCGCGUGGGAAAGUUAGCUCGCUGAUCAAAGGAGGACAAGGCAUAGUUUGCCCACUUGCUUCCUGGGAGGGAGGCUCUUCGCACCUCUCCCCCACCCCGCGCGCGCCUUGAUUUUGGGGAGCUGUGAUUUGGAGUUGCGUGGCUCCGUUUCAAAUCGUGGGCGUUCAGGCAGUCACCUCCGCGGGUCGUAUGUAUCCCGCUUAGAAAAGGGCGCCCCAGCAGUUAAUAAAGCAAAGCUGCUCCGCACGAUCCAUUGUGCACUAAAGGAACAAAUCAGUGUCCGACCCCCUUGCAAAUCCUGGGGGGCGAAAUCUAGGCUAGCAGGGGUCCGAUCAUUUCCCAGGCCUGGAUCUUCUAAUUUCAGCGGGUCUACUCUGAGCAGGGCUCCCGCAGGAUACAGGCCCCUGUUGUUUAUAAGAGGACUUCCUUCUGUGGAAGGCGGCCCGAGGAUCGCAUCCGUGGCGCACGGUGUACAAAGGGUUAAAAGGAGAUUGGCUGGAAAAUUGCAACAGGCACCUUUUACUCUGACGUAAGCGGUGCAUCGUCGAAGUGGAACUUACUCCUGAGUCUCAGUCCACACUGGAUUGUGGCGCGCGCUUGGCGUGGAGGGGGGCGGGCUUCUUGUGCGUGAUGACCCAGCUGAGUGCAAUCGGAUUUACUCGAGCCCCACAAAUCUGCAGACGCCGGCGCCAUGUCUCAGCGCCAUUCGACUGGCUCCUUGGGAGACAAGGCCGUUUUGCUGGAGCACCAGGUCGGCUCGGAUUUGCGCCUCAGCGCCAAUAAUGUGUCCCCAAAUGGCAAGCGCAGCUCCCUGGGCCCGCUGGACGGCCCUGCCUUCUUGGCCGAGCGUUCCCCGUCGCCCACUGGGGCCCGCCGGAUCAUCCUCAGCACCCAAAGCCCAGCCGCCCUCAAGGUGGGCACCCAGCAGCUCAUCCCCAAGGGCCUGGCGGAGGGACCCAAGCCCAAGGUCCCCUCUCGGCACCAGAGCUUCUCGGCGGUCGUCUUGAGCAAGGAAGCCGCCCGAUUGGACCCCAAGCGCAUGUCGGCCCCCAGCAUUUCGUUUGACGACCCCGAGGAAGCAGAGCUGGAUGGAGGGACGCUCAAGCGCAACCUCCGCAGCAUGUCAUACCGGGCCGCCAUGAAGGGCCUAGGGAACGGCGAGCCCACAGAGCCCUCAAAAAUUGUCGGGGGCAGCCUGAAGCCACUGUGUGAAGAAACCAAUGGCCAAGGAGCCCGUAGCCCUGGAAGGCAGAAGAGAAACUUUGGUCGGAAGCGCAUGAAUUGGCAUGGAGGUUCCUUCAAAGAUGAUCCCCGCCUGUAUCAAGAGAUUCGCGAGAAAGGUCUCAACUCCAUCAGCCACGAGUCAGAUGAUGACCUCCUAGAGGUGGACACCAUCCCCGAGGAACCUCCUGCCACAGAUUCCUCCACCAUUGUGGUGAAGAACUACAGGCCUGCUCACAUCAACUGGAGCCAGCUGCCAGAGGUGCAGGAAGCUGGCAUCCUGGAGCAGAUCUCCCCGGAAGAGCGCAAACGGCAGGAGGCGAUCUUUGAGAUCAUUACCUCCGAGUAUUCCUACAUGCGCAGCUUGGAGAUACUGGUGAACCACUUCAUGAAAUCGGAGGCACUGAAGGACACCAUGAAUCAGACAGAUCACCACCACCUCUUCUCCAACAUUGGGGAUAUCCUGGCUGCCAGCAAGAGCUUUUUUGAGGACUUGGAGAAAAGACAUCAGGAGAACGUCCUGAUCCCGGACAUCAGCGACAUCGUAGAGGCUCACGCAACUAAUAAUUUUAAUCCAUAUGUCAUCUAUUGUUCGAAUGAAGUCUACCAACAGAGGACCCUUCAGAAGCUGUUAACCACGAAUCCUGCCUUUAAAGAGACCCUGAAACACAUUGAGCAGAAACCAGAGUGUGGCAGCCUUCCCUUGAUUUCCUUCCUUAUCAACCCCAUGCAGAGAGUUACUCGCUUGCCUCUUCUGAUGGAUACUGUCUGCCAGAAAACCCAGUUGCAUAGCAGAGCUUACGAAGCAGCGACUCAGGCUUUGAAGGCCAUCAGUAAGCUCGUGAAGAGGUGCAACGAGGGGGCCCACACCAUGGAGAGAACCGAGCAGAUGUACACGUUGCAGAAGCAGCUGGAGUUUGGAAAGAUCAAGAACUUCCCGCUGAUUUCUGCUUCCCGGUGGCUGCUGAAAAGGGGAGAACUCUCCAUGCCUCUGGUGGAAGAAGGUGGAAUUUUCCGGAAGGGCUCUGGACGUGGGAACUGCUAUCUCUUUGUGUUCAAUGAUGUCUUGAUCAUCACCAAGAAAAAGAGCGAGGAGAGCUACAUGGUUCUCAACUACGCCAUGCUUGACCAGCUUUCGGUGGACAAAAUUGAAAACCCGGAUACUCCCUCUUCUCCCCCCGCCAAGCCGGGUUCGAGUGGUGCAUUCCGCUUUGGCCACUUGUUCCGUGUGACCAUGAACAAGGACAGCGAAGGCAAGCGGGAGGCGAUAGUGCUGGCCACAGAAUCCCUGAGCGACCGGGCCCGAUGGAUCAGGGCUUUGAUGCACAGGGAAGACAAGGAGAAGGACACUGCCAGCAAAGGAGAUCUCAAGCAGGUGGAGAUUGUACGGGCUUACUUGGCCAAGCAGACGGAUGAGAUUUCCCUCCAGCAAGGCGAUGUUGUCCUUGUCCUGACCAGGGAGGAAGGCUGGUACUUAGGUGAGCGUCUACGUGAUGGCGAGAAGGGCUGGUUCCCGCAAGCCUGUGCCCAGGAGAUCACCAACCGCAGCACCGUGGAGCGCAAUGUUCAGCGCAUGGAACGGUUGCGCAUAGAGACAGAUGUGUGAAAGCUGGAGCAUGUCGAACAUUAGUCCGCUGGAGCACUUGGGACACAAAGCCAGCGGUAGGGCCUGGGAAGGCAGACCUGCCUCUCAGUGUCCCUCCUGGGUCGGAAGUGAGCUCUUGCCUGCCUCGUAAGGUGGUUGCCGUCCAAAAAGAUGAAUGACCUUCCAGCCGUGCCGCGCAAUGGACGCACCUUUGUUGGGAGACCAUCUGGGUUGAGGCAUUUCCCCCCCUUCCCUCCCCCUCCAAAAAAAGGACACCGUUGUUCACCCGGGUGUCUGAAGAUGGCAUUUCGCUGUCGUUCUUCGCCCCUGCCCUAGAGGUCCUCCUUGGGUAUUAUCUUCUGUGGUCUGUUGUUGGUUGUUAAGAUGUUCUUUCCAGAUUCAUGUCAGCAUCUCAUAAUGAUGUGUAUGUGUGUGUGUUGUGGAAGCUGCAACGCUCAGGGAAAAUGGGGUUAUGUGACCCUCCCACCAAUUGUAGAAGCUGGCUUUUAAUUUUGCCCCCACCCCCAAACCCACAGCCACGAGGACACAUUCCUGUGCAAUCAGUUCAAUGUUUGCAGAGCCUCACACCUCCCUCCACCCUCCUUUGCCAAUUUGCACAGAUGUGGCGAAUCCAAUAUACGUUCAUGAGCCAUUAAGCCAUUGCACCUCGGUAGUGCUGUGCGAUGCUUAUAGUUGGAAGAACAAUGCCUUUGAAAACUUUUGAAUGGACUCCUCCUAGUCUGAAUACUUUGCGCUAGCACCAUUUUAUUCUUUUUAGCAUGUUGGUUUCCAGUGUGACCUUUACGGUGCAACCCUAAACAUGUCUUGCACAAAAGUAAGCCCCCGCUGAGUUCAGUGAGGCUUACUUUUAGGCAAGUGUGCAUGGGCUUGUAGCCUUAUUUAUCUUGGCUGCCUUUUGACACAUGUCUAGCUUGUGAGCUACAAUGAAUUUGGGUUUAGUAUCUAAUGCUGACUCUUGGGUGUACUGGUUUUUAAAUCAUUUUUGUUCGGGGCAUCUUAAAAAGUGCUCCUGCCUUUUAUACAGUAUGUGUAACUCUUUUUUUAAACUUCAUAGUUAACAAACACCCCCUCCAAGUAGUUUGUUUUCCUGUGUCUGACCGCUGUAAUUAUCCUGCGCGUUCUGGAUCUACAUGAGUUUAGCAAGUGGACCGGAGUGGUUUUGAUUGGGACAAAUUGCAUUGCUAUAGUAACCCUGUUUCUUGCAGUUCCUGUGAGCUCGGAGGGUAGUUUUAGAAAAUGAGUGGUGUGUCUUGCUGUAUAUCUAUUUAAGCUGAUUAAACUCUUGUAUGAUUUGGAACGAGGUGCGGAGGAUUUGUUAUUUCUACACAGGAAAACCAUUGGUCCAUCUAGCUCAGUAUUGUCUACACUGACUGGCAGCAGCUCUCCGCAGUUUCAGGAAGGUAUCCCUCUCCCAGCCCUGCCCAGAGAUGUUGGGGAUUGAACCUGAGACCUUCUGCAUGCCAAGCAGGUGCUCUCACCACUGAACCUUCCUACUUCAACCCAGGAUCUGAAGCUUUUGCUUUAAGGGGUAGGGUACCCAAGAAGUUGUUCAGACCUGGGGUGCAUUGAGAUGUGGUGUGGAUUGUAUUGGUCAUAGCAAUGACAUUUCUGUCUCAGUUUCUAAUCUUCCUUUUCUACUGCAGGAAAUUACAGCGCAAAAAACUCUUGCCGUUUUCCAGGUUGACAGAGUUGCAAACGGAUAUUUUGUGGAAGCAAUUAACACAGAACUUCCACUAGAUUUCCAAAAGGGGCCUUUAUGCCACGUGAAAGAACACACAAGAUGUGAAAUGGCUCAGGUAAGGAAAUGGAACAAAAUGCUGUCUUGGUUAGAUUUCACAUACAAAUGUUUGAAACUAAAGCGGUGUUUCUUACAUCGUUUGCCCUGCAGUUUUUGUUUCAAGGAGGCUUUCCCUAAAGUGUGGCCCGGUCACUUUGUGGAAAAACACUACCAUAAUUAUAGAGUUGGAAGGGAUUCCAAGGGUCAUCGAGUCCAGCCCGCUGCAGUGCAGUCAUCAUAGCUAAAUAACCCCUGACAGGCACCCAUCCAACCUCUGUUGAAAAACCUCUAGCAAAGAAGAGAUCCUCGCCAUGAGACAGCCCCCAUUCCACUGUAUGGUACAGUUGUGGAAAUGGGCUUAGCUGACUUGAGCUUGUAAUCUUUAACAUUUUUAUCUUUCUUGCAUCUUAUUUGUAAUUAGCUGUCGGGACGUACGGUUGGGAAGCGGUUCAUAAAUCUGCAAAUAAUCUGUUGUAAAAAGCUGUCUGUGUGUGCUUAGGGGCAAUGCCCUAAAGCAGGCAUCCCCAAACUGCGGCCCUCCAGAUGUUUUGGCCUACAACUCCUAUGAUCCCUAGCUAACAGGACCAGUGGUCAGGGAUGAUGGGAAUUGUAGUCCAAAACAUCUGGAGGGCCGAUGUUUGGGGAUGCCUGCCCUAAAGCUCCUAAAUUUAAGCACCAGGACAGAACUUUAUUUUUGCAAGCUUCUAAAAUGUGUUUUUAAAAACCUUGCCGACUGAUUUUUAAAAUGAUCUAACAUAUUUGUAUCCUUUUUUAAAAUGAUAUUACUUAAAACAUCUGUAUAGCACUGUCAAGUAUUCAGAGCAGUUCGUAUUCAGGCCCCGAAUGCAGUCUUCGCAAGAACCCUGUAAGGUAAGUCAGUAUUACCAUGACACACACACCCCAUAUUGCAGAUUAUUGCAGGGCGGGGAGCAGGUUGAAGCUGAGAGAACAGCUUCCUUAACGCUACCCAGCAAACUUGCAGCACAUGAAGAAUUUGUAACAGGGACAUCCUGCUGUGCAAGCUCAGUUUCUUAGGCCACUUUCCUAUUCCCUGCAGCUGGGAAGUAAGGUCCACUGAAUUCUGCAGGGCUGCCUUCUGAGUAUACCUGAACACUAUAUUACCUGGACACUGAGGUCCAGCGCCGAAGGCCUUCUGGCGGUUUCCUCACUGUGAGAAGUGAGGUUGCAGGGAACCAGGCAGAGGGCCUUCUUGGUGGCGGUGCCCUGUGGAACGCCCUCCCAUCAGAUGUCAAAGAAAUAAACAACCGUAUGACAUUUAGAAGACAUCUGAAGGCAGCCCUGUUUAGGGAAGUUUUUAAUGACUGAUGUUUUGAUUUAUUUUUAAGCUUCUGUUGGAAGCCGCCCAGAGUGGCUGGGGAAACCCAGCCAGAUGGGUGGGGUAGAAAUAAUAAUAAUAAUAAUAAAUUAUUAUUAUUAUUAUUAUUAUUAUUAUUAUUAUUAUUAUUAUUGAGUAGAUGUGAAUAAGACCGUGUGUUAGUCACUUUGCACUUGAUGAUUUUUAAUCAUAAAAUCAGCUCAAGGCCAGAACUGGUGAUGGGGAGGAGGUACGUUAGAAUUCUCCUGAUAAAGAUGUGGGCAAUGACAUGAGAACAUAAGAAGAGACUGCUGGAUCAGGCCAAUGGCCCAUCCAAUCCAGAUUCUUGUUCUCACAUUCGCUGUCCCAGAUCCCUGUGGGAAGUUUGCAAGUGGAACCUGAUUGCAAGUGCAACCUCCCCACCUGUGGUUUCCAGCAACUGCUGGUACUGUGUUUCUCCAAAAAUACGCCAUAUCCCCAAAAUAAGCCACACUCCGAAAAUAAGCCAUACCCCAAAAAUAAGCCAUAGUGAUAGGCAGUUUAACCUUGUAGGUUAAACUGUACCAUACUUAAUUUUCUAAAAAAAAAUAAGACAUCCCCUGAAAAUAAGCCACCGUGUUUUUUUUUGAGGAAAAAUAAAUAUAAGACGGUGUCUUAUUUUUGGAGAAACACUGUAUGCAGAAGCAUGCACUGCCUCUGGUCGCAGAGACAGAGCUUAGCAGCCAUCAUUCGCCUUGCUUUCGGUGAAUUUGUCUCAUCCUUUAUUAGAGCCAUUCAGGUUGGUGGUAAUCGGAAUUCUAGAACUAGGGAGGACAGAGAGGCCAUCUGUGUAUGCAACGUGAUUAUUGUUAUUUUGGGCGGUGGGGGGGGGAACCCCAAAUAAUUUUUUAUUUUUGUGUUGGACAUAAUACUGUGUGGCCCAAAAAUCCUUCACGGAGGAUAGCAUAAAGUGUGUAUAUAAAUAUAAAUAUAUAUAUUUUUAAUAGAAGCAAGUAACAACAUUAUAAUUUUGUCAGACAUAUGGCAAUAUGUUCUGCAGUAUUUGCAGCUGGAAAAAAACCCAAAGAUCUGUAAACCGGUGGCAGGAUCAAGUCAGAGGUCAUGGGUUGUGUCCAAAUCUUAGUCCAACACAAAGUCAAUGUAAUGGGCAUGACUGGCUUAAGUCCAUUAUUUUCCACGGAUCUGCUUGGGGGUAAAACACAACUCUGAGGGAACAGGAAAGAGGGUUGAUAGCAGGUAGGUGCCGCUUUUGAAAACAGGCUAUGGCAUUAUGGACAAAGGAGCACUAAUCUUGCAAAUAACAACUUCCAUUAAGCUGAACAGGCAAAACUCUGCUCUAUUAAAUUUUAGCUGGGGGAAGUUUCUGGUGGGUUGUCCCCAGACACAAAUAUGAAAGCUAAAACCUUCACAUAUAAAACACUGUACAGCUCCACAGUUUCUGAUUACUUUCUAAAGCCGGGUUCAAGUUCUUAUGCAUGACACACGAUAAAAUCUCAGUGGUGAUGGUGAGUUCUUUCUCUCUCUCUCUCUCUCUCUCUCUCUCUCUCUCUCUCUCUCUCUCUCUCUCUCUCUCUCUCUCUCUCUCUCUCUCUCUCUCUCUGCUACAGUAGCUCAGUUUUUAACUUGCUCUCUUUUUAUUUCCCAAGACUUAGCCCUUGUAAAAAGGAGCUUGGGCAGUGAGCAUUUCCCAUGUCUCCUGGCUCAGUGGAGUUCCUUAUCGGAGGCACUAGGAACUUCUGUUUUCCAGAUUGGCAAUGGAUGGUCAAGGAUGACAAUUCCUCUGGACACAAUCUUGGAUUUGUUGCGCUCUUGAGGGGUCGGAUCUGCAAGCUGGUGUGUCGCGAGUCAGGUGAGCCAGUUCCAUACUUGGCAGCCAACCCUUGUAGCUUCUGCACAAGUCUGCGCUGGAAGUGAUGAGUCCAGAAACUAGUGCUUCAAAGAUGGGGCAACCACCCUGGAGGGAGCCCGGUAAAAAGUCCGAGACUGUGCAGCUAUAAGAGAAAAUUAUAAUGUGUUAGAGGAGCAACACCAUGGUUUUCUGUGCUGGCAGGCAUGGCCUCAGCAACAGGGCUAUAUAGUUCAGUGGUAGAGUCCCUGGGGGGGGGGUUCAAUCCCCAACAUUUCCAGGUACUAGGGCUGGGCAGUGUACGGUUUUCAGCAUCUAAGUAUACUAAUAUAUCACGAUACAGUGGUGCCUCGCUAGAUGAAUGCCCUGUAAGACGAAUUUUAUGCUAUAUGAAAUAGGUUUUGCGAUUGGAGGUUGCCUCGCAAGACGAUGAGGUUUUCUAUGGCCGCCACUUCGUCUUGCGAAGUGUGGCCAUAAAAACCUCUGAUCGCAAAACCUAGCGAAAGGGGCAUUCGUCUAGCAAAAGGGGAACCAGCUGUAGCA